rnacentral:rRNA from 1 species
CCUACGGGAGGCAGCAGUGAGGAAUAUUGGUCAAUGGCCGGAAGGCUGAACCAGCCAUGCCGCGUGAAGGUCAGUGCCCUAUGGGCGUUAAACUUCUUUUGUGCGGGAGCAAUAAUGGUCACGUGUGGCCAGACGAGAGUACCGUACGAAUAAGCAUCGGCUAACUCCGUGCCAGCAGCCGCGGUAAUACGGGGGAUGCAAGCGUUAUCCGGAUUUAUUGGGGUUAAAGGGGGCGUAGGCUGUGAGGUAAGUCAGCGGUGAAAUGCCCCCGCUCAACGGGGUGAAGUGACAUUGAUACUGCCUUGCUGGAAUGCGGAUGCCGUGGGAGGAAUGUGUGGUGUAGCGGUGAAAUGCAUAGAUAUCACACAGAACACCGAUUGCGAAGGCAUCUCACGAAUCCGCGAUUGACGCUGAUGCACGAAAGCGUGGGUAUCAAACAGGAUUAGAUACCCUAGUAGUC